rnacentral:rRNA from 1 species
AAUCAACGCUGGCGGCGUGCCUAACACAUGCAAGUCGAACGCGAAAGUGGAGCAAUCCAUGAGCGGCAGACGGGAGAGUAACACGUGGGAACGUACCCUUCAGUUCGGAACAACCAAGGGAAACUUUGGCUAAUACCGGAUACGUCCGUAAGGAGAAAGAUUUAUCGCUGAAGGAUCGGCCCGCGUCUGAUUAGCUUGUUGGUGAGGUAACGGCUCACCAAGGCGACGANCAGUAGCUGGUCUGAGAGGAUGAUCAGCCUCAUUGGGACUGAGACACGGCCCAAACUCCUACGGGAGGCAGCAGUGGGGAAUAUUGGACAAUGGGCGCAAGCCUGAUCCAGCCAUGCCGCGUGGAUGAUGAAGGCCCUAGGGUUGUAAAGUCCUUUCGGCGGGGAAGAUAAUGACGGUACCCGCAGAAGAAGCCCCGGCUAACUUCGUGCCAGCAGCCGCGGUAAG